rnacentral:rRNA from 1 species
AACGAACGCUGGCGGCAGGCCUAACACAUGCAAGUCGAGCGGGGGAGCAAUCCCUAGCGGCGGACGGGUGAGUAACGCGUGGGAACGUACCCUUUGCUUCGGAAUAGCCCCGGGAAACUGGGAGUAAUACCGGAUGUGCCCUACGGGGGAAGAAUUUCGGCAAAGGAUCGGCCCGCGUUGGAUUAGGUAGUUGGUGGGGUAAUGGCCUACCAAGCCGACGAUCCACAGCUGGUUUGAGAGGAUGAUCAGCCACACUGGGACUGAGACACGGCCCAGACUCCUACGGGAGGCAGCAGUGGGGAAUCUUAGACAAUGGGCGCAAGCCUGAUCUAGCCAUGCCGCGUGAGCGAUGAAGGCCUUAGGGUUGUAAAGCUCUUUCGUGGGGGAAGAUAAUGACGGUACCCCAAGAAGAAGCCCCGGCUAACUCCGUGCCAGCAG